GAGUUUGAUCCUGGCUCAGGAUGAACGCUGGCGGCGUGCUUAACACAUGCAAGUCGAACGAGCCUUCGGGCUAGUGGCGGACGGGUGAGUAACGCGUGGGAAUCUGCCCUCAGGAGGGGGAUAACGGCCGGAAACGGCCGCUAAUACCCCAUAUGCCGAGAGGUGAAAUGAAUUUCGCCUGAGGAUGAGCCCGCGUCUGAUUAGCUAGUUGGUGGGGUAAUGGCCCACCAAGGCGACGAUCAGUAGCUGGUCUGAGAGGAUGAUCAGCCACACUGGGACUGAGACACGGCCCAGACUCCUACGGGAGGCAGCAGUGGGGAAUUUUCCGCAAUGGGCGAAAGCCUGACGGAGCAACGCCGCGUGAGGGAUGAAGGCCUCUGGGCUGUAAACCUCUUUUCUCAAGGAAGAAGACAUGACGGUACUUGAGGAAUAAGCCACGGCUAAUUCCGUGCCAGCAGCCGCGGUAAUACGGGAGUGGCAAGCGUUAUCCGGAAUUAUUGGGCGUAAAGCGUCCGCAGGCGGCCUUGUAAGUCUGUCGUUAAAGCGUGGAGCUUAACUCCAUUUCAGCGAUGGAAACUACA
rnacentral:rRNA from 1 species